rnacentral:rRNA from 1 species
UAGUCCUAGCUGUAAACGAUGGCCACUAAGUAGGGGAACUCCAAAGGUUUCCCUGCCGUAGCUAAUGUAUUAAGUGGCCCGCCUGGGGAGUAUGGUCGCAAGGCUGAAACUCAAAGGAAUUGACGGGGGCUCACACAAGCGGUGGAGCAUGUUGUUUAAUUCGAUGCAACGCGAAGAACCUUACCUGGGCUUGACAUGUAUGUGGUAUCAAACCGAAAGGGGCGAGACCUACUUUGUAGGAGCAUACACAGGUAUUGCACGGCUGUCGUCAGCUCGUGUCGUGAGAUGUUGGGUUAAGUCCCGCAACGAGCGCAACCCUUGUCUUUAGUUGCCAUCAUUUAGUUGGGCACUCUAGAGAAACUGCCGGUGACAAACCGGAGGAAGGUAAGGAUGACGUCAAGUCAGUAUGCCCCUUACGCUCUGGGCUACACACGUGCUACAAUGGUCGUGACAAAGAGUUGCUAGUCUGCGAAGGCAAGCCAAUCUCAUAAACGCGGCCUUAGUUCGGAUUG